rnacentral:tRNA from 1 species
AUCUUCCUAGUAUAAAAUAGUAUAGGUGACUUCCAAUCACUCAGUCUUGGUUUAAAUCCAAGGAAAGAUA